GAAUGCCUGCAUUGUGCAACAGCCUGCCUCUGUUCAAGCUUCCCGUUAGCUGUCUGCUUUCUUCCAGCCGGCCUCAUGACAGUCCAGUUGCUGUCCCACCUUGUUGGAGUAAAUUAGAGGCUAACUAGUGGGAAGUGGCUACUGCUUACAGACAUCUUCCCUGGAAGUUAGAAGAAGGAUUUAAGAGAGUUUUGUCCAGCAAGACGGAAAGCAGCCUCCCAGUUCCUCCAGAACUUUGUCUCUGCUGAAGACCAGGAUGGCCAGUUGCAGCUCAUGUAUCUGGUGCAUCUUUUGGCUGGUGGUGCUGCUGUGCGCUGGCUGGCCAAUCAGCAUCACCUUAGGCGGUCUCUAUGGUCUCAUCAGUCCCCUCACCACCUGCCUUGGCCUUGACCGACUCUCCGACCUACUUCUAGAGGGGGCCAACGUGGGUCGGACCUGCGCCAACAACAUGAGGCACUGUAAGCCUUUGUGCUGAUCAGGACCUGAUCAUACAGAGGUCACAGUCAACGCACCUUCUAUGAAGACAAGGCUUCUUCUCAACAAUGGGAACUGUUUUACUAUGUAAUUAGAAACAUUUGAUAAAUCCCUAUCCCAUUUUGUAACCUGUGUGAGAAAAAUGUCCACCUAUUUCCAUCUCCACUGUUAACAACUAAUUAACCUCAGAUUGAAGUUUUGUUUGCGGGAAAAUAGGCUUUGCUACAUGGUCCAUGUGUGGCGCAACUCCCGGUGACAGUGCAUGACAAAGAUAAGAACAUGAACAAUAACACUGUUUAGACUUUUAAAUGACUGUCCUAAAACUAAGAAUGUGAUUAAAACAGCUUUGAACAUGU